rnacentral:rRNA from 1 species
GACGAACGCUGGCGGCGUGCCUAAUACAUGCAAGUCGAGCGGACUGAUGGGAGCUUGCUCCCUGAUGUUAGCGGCGGACGGGUGAGUAACACGUGGGCAACCUGCCCUUUAGCUUGGGAUAACUCCGGGAAACCGGGGCUAAUACCGAAUAAUCAGUUUGUCCGCAUGGACAAACUCUGAAAGACGGUUUCGGCUGUCACUGUAGGAUGGGCCCGCGGCGCAUUAGCUAGUUGGUGAGGUAACGGCUCACCAAGGCAACGAUGCGUAGCCGACCUGAGAGGGUGAUCGGCCACACUGGGACUGAGACACGGCCCAGACUCCUACGGGAGGCUG